AAUCAAACAUCGAAAAAAUAUUAAAUACAGAGAUAAACAUUUUUCUUUCAAUCCGAGAUGGGAGUGGCCUUAUGCAGCAUAUGGAGGAUUUUUAUUACAUUUCACUGCUUCAGUAUGUGAGAUCAAAUUAUCAAAUUGUCGCAAGGUCACCAACCAAUGAAGAAGGUAGCCUAUGACUAUGACAGCACAGCCAAGGUUAAAUUUUAUUUUUCUUCUAUAAAUACUGAAAUAUUCUUUUUUUGUAAACUUGUGAUAUGACCACAAUAGACAAUAGUUCCUAAAAGAGUUCCAUUUCCUCAAAUUUAAUGUCCCACCACCUGAGGUUCUCACUACCUAUGCUUCAAUACAGCUUUCAUAGGCUAAAAAAUGUUUCAGUUCCAUUAAUUUUUCGAAUUGCAAAAUUAUGUACAGUUGGUGAUUGUAAUAAUUUCAUGAACUUACACGAUUGUCAUGAUCUGUUCUAUACUUUUUUUGUUCUUGUU